rnacentral:lncRNA from 1 species
UAAAUUUCCCCAAUCCAGUUCAUCACGGGCAUUCUUGUUAGAGUUGGGCAGGAGCUUUUAUCUAUUUGACUUUUUCAUUUUACACUUUUGAUGGUGUUUGCAAAUAUGGCUGGGACAUGCUUCCUCAUCCCCACUCAUUGCCCCUGCGGAAUCCACACACCCCCUCCCUGCUGCCUCCUUGGGUAGCUUGGAUGACUGUCCUAAGCACCUUCGUUCUGUGGUUUGAAGCACAGAUCAUGUCAACCAGGCUUUUGACCAGCAGAACAACCAACCCGUGGCUGGUGGACAGCUGCUGGGCUGUGCCAAGGCUCUUAAUCUGGGCCCUGAACAACUUUCAGUUCUGCUGACAAUGUUGUCUUCUCAUUUUUUCCCCCCACGAAGGUGGACCUCUAUACCCACAUAGUAUCUCCACUUAGGUGCACAUGAAUAUCAGCAACACUGAUUAGUUUUGCCUGCUUUUCAACUUUAUAUGACUGCAAUCAUAUUCUUUCUAAAAAUUUAUAUACAUAUAUACAUAUAUAUAUCUCACACACAUAUAUAUACAUAUAUAUAUCUCACUCAUAUAUAUAUACACACAUACACACACACACACAUAUAUUUAUAUACUUUUUUUAAGAGACUAGAUCUUGCUCUGACACUCAGACUGUAGUGCAGUGGCAUGAUCAUGGCUCACUGCAGCCUCAAAUUCUUGGGCUUAAGCAAUCCUCCCACUUUGGCCUCUGGAGUAGCUGGGACUACAGGUAUGCACCUCCAUGCUGGGCUAAUUUUUGCUUUUGUAGAGACGUGAUCUCUCCAUGUUGCCCA